rnacentral:rRNA from 1 species
AGAUACCCUAUUAUAUUUAAACCCCUUUAGGUAGUACUAUCUUAACUAGGAAACCUAUGAAGUUUGGCGGCAUUUUACCAUCUUAGAGGAACCUGUCUCUUAAUCGAUACUCCACGAUAAAUUUUACUUUUAUUUACAUCUUAUAUACCUCCAUCUUAAGGGUUAAUAACUUAUAUCUUCCCCUUAACAGAUUUCUAAAAUGUUAGGUAAAGGUGUAGACCAUAUAUAAGGUUAAGAUGGGUUACAAUAAAUUUCAUUUAAGGAUAUCCAAUAACAUUUUUA